rnacentral:sRNA from 2 species
UAUUCUGCCCCACGGGGAAGGAUGAGAAGCUUCGACUAAGGUUCGACUCGAGCGAAGCGAGAGAACGUUGCCGCAGGCAACGGCCCGAAGGGCGAAGCGCUUUAGCGCCGAGUAAUCCUUCCCCACCACUG